rnacentral:SRP_RNA from 1 species
AACUCGGUCUCGCGCAACGAAAUCCUGCGAACGUGUCAGGUCCGGAAGGAAGCAGCAAUAAGUGGAUCAUUUCGUGUGACGUGAGGGUGCCGAGUUAUU